rnacentral:rRNA from 1 species
UACGUAGGGGGCGAGCGUUGUCCGAAGUUACUGGGCGUAAAGCGCGCGUAGGCGGUCUCUUAAGUCCGGGGUGAAAGGUUCAGCGCUCAACGCGAACAGUGCCCUGGAGACUGGGGGGACCUUGAGUGUGGGGAGGGGGGCAGUGGAAUUCCUGGUGUAGCGGUGAAAAUGCGGUAGAUAUCAGGAGGAACACCGAUGGCGAAGGCAGAC